AUGUUUCCAUGCCCUUGGAAGGAGGAGGAAUGGUCUCCAUUUUGCUCUUCAAGAAGAAAAUACUUACGAAGCCAACACAGAUGUGGGACCCACUCACACCAGUUCUGUUGUGCGUGUCCCUCUAGCUGGUGCAAGUUUCGUGCACAUGAAGUAUAUGUCCUGGGAAGACACUGGGACCCUUACUCUUCAAUGAGUGUUUUCACCAACACUGACCAGGUGCUGAUGGGAGAUAGUUUACCUUCAAAUUUUUUCAAGUUUUUUACUUUACAACAAAUAAAAAGAAAGAAUCUCUUUCUGCCCCUCAUGCUAAAGAGACUGCUCUGCAAAAAAAGAUCCCUGUUGUUUUCUAAGGAGAGACCGAAAGGAUGUGGAUUCUGA
ensembl:lincRNA 1700010H22Rik RIKEN cDNA 1700010H22 gene